GGGUUUCACCAAUCUUUGAGCAACUCACCAGCUACAUCUUUAUAGCUAAUUUUCUUUUUCUUUUUAGGACUGGGAUUAGUAUCUGCAUCUGGCUUGUCGUCUUUUACAAGAGUGUCUAUGCUUCUUGUUGGCUUACUAUCCAAGUGGGGUAUCAUAUGCAAUAGCAUAGCUUGGACUGGAUCAACAGGGUCUUCCAGCUUUUCAUCCACCUUG
rnacentral:misc_RNA from 1 species